UCCGAAUUGGUGUAGGGGUUAACAUUGCCGCCUCUCAUGCUUACGUAAAACGUACAGAUUACGUAAUAUGCACCGCGGCAGCCCGGGGUUCGAUUCCCCGAUUCGGAA